UACGGAGGGUGCAAGCGUUAUCCGGAUUCACUGGGUUUAAAGGGUGCGUAGGUGGGCAAGUAAGUCAGUGGUGAAAUCUCCGGGCUUAACCCGGAAACUGCCAUUGAUACUAUUUGUCUUGAAUACUGUGGAGGUCAGCGGAAUAUGUCAUGUAGCGGUGAAAUGCUUAGAUAUGACAUAGAACACCGAUAGCGGAGGCAGCUUACUACGCGAUUAUUGACACUGAGGCACGAAAGCGUGGGGAUCAAACAGG
rnacentral:rRNA from 1 species